UACGAAAGGUGCAAGCGUUACUCGGAAUCACUGGGCGUAAAGCGCACGUAGGCGGACUCGUAGGUCAGUUGUGAAAUACCUGAGCUCAACUCAGGAAUUGCAGCUGAAACCGCUUGUCUUGAAUACUUGAGAGGGUGGGGGAAUACCUGGUGGAGAAGUGAAAUUCGUAGAGAUCAGGUGGAACACCGAAGGCGAAGGCGCCUGCCUGGCAAUGUAUUGACGCUGAGGUGCGAAAGCGUGGGGAGCAAACAGG
rnacentral:rRNA from 1 species